CAUAUCUUAAUUGACUGGAUUUACUGCUAGAUAAAAACGUUCAGAUUUUUAAGACCGUUCAGGCGCCGUCCCGAUCGAUAGUCUCAUCAGGUAAAUCAGUCCGUUAAGGCAUGUCAAGAUUGUCAAGACUGAAUCUUCUAGCGAGCUGUUUAGACCCGUUAAGACCGUGUCAGACCAAUUAAGAUCAAAUCUAAAAAUUAACAUCCAAAAUUGUCAGACCAUGUAUAGAUCCGUUCAGUAUGCCGGUAUGAUACCACGAGUUACGCCCCUUCUGCUGGAUUAGUGCAUUUUAGAUUAAUUAUAUAUUUAUUUGAAGUUAAAGUAUU
rnacentral:lncRNA from 1 species